CGGUGGGUGUGCAGUGAUACACGCCCGGUUCUGACCCGGUGUGUGUGCAGUGGUUCAGGCCCGGUUCUGGCCCGGUGUGUGUGCAGUACUUGUGGUUGAUG